GGGGUGUAGCUCAGUGGUAGAGAGCGUGCUU
rnacentral:piRNA from 2 species